AACGAACGCUGGCGGCAUGCCGAACACAUGCAAGUCGAACGAGAUCUUCGGGUCUAGUGGCGCACGGGUGCGUAACGCGUGGGAAUCUGCCCUUUGGUUCGGAAUAACAGUUGGAAACGACUGCUAAUACCGGAUGAUGACGAAAGUCCAAAGAUUUAUCACCAGAGGAUGAGCCCGCGUAGGAUUAGCUAGUUGGUGUGAUAAAGGCGCACCAAGGCGACGAUCCUUAGCUGGUCUGAGAGGAUGAUCAGCCACACUGGGACUGAGACACGGCCCAGACUCCUACGGGAGGCAGCAGUGGGGAAUAUUGGACAAUGGGCGAAAGCCUGAUCCAGCAAUGCCGCGUGAGUGAUGAAGGCCUUAGGGUUGUAAAGCUCUUUUACCCGGGAUGAUAAUGACAGUACCGGGAGAAUAAGCUCCGGCUAACUCCGUGCCAGCCGCCGCCGUAA
rnacentral:rRNA from 1 species